UUGGCUGCCCCUCCGCAUCCCUAACGUAAUUAAAACAAGGGGGGAAAAAUUAUCAUGGAGGCAGAGGUUAAUGCAAGUGUUUAGCAGAUGCCUUACAGUAAAAUYUGCAUUAAAAAAAAUUGAAAAACCAACAAAAAAACCCUACAAACUCAUUAAAACUUAAAUAUCGGAUAAUCUCAAACYAGCUUGCUGGCUGCACCUAUGCACCUUCACCAGUGGUCACCCGAGCAACUUACGCGACUGAAAUUGUUUCGCUCUUYUUUAAUUGGUAUGAUCGCUUUCCAAUAUACCGCAGGUUAAACUCCCACUGUGACAGUUUCUGUGACAAGACACUACGGCCACUCMGAUAACAUCUCCAAUGAUGAAGGAAACGGAAAACAUGAGACAGAGAAAAAGUAAUAAAAUAUACAGGAGAUAUCGAUCAGAACACCAGUCUCCAAAGCUAGCAUCAUGAUUGCUUAAUUAACUUUGGAGAAAGAAGAUCUCUAGAUAAAGCACCCAGAAGGAUCUUACGCAUAUAUUUUCCUCCUAUCCUAUCCCAGAAGUUGUUUAUGAGUUUUAUAAAGUGAGUUUUAGAGCAAAUGUGUCCUCCCUCAGCUUUUAAAGACUCAGAAUUCCCGAUUAUGGUUUAUAGCCUUUUCUGUUUGAUCCACGCGUUGAAAAACGCUGCAGCUCAAAGUACCAUUCCAAAUAACAUGCUCAAAGUUCGCUAAAAAGCACCAGUAUUUUGACAAUCUUACACUUGAUGAUUUGAUUAGAAUGUUUCUUUUCGUGCACACAUCAUUUGGCGAAAAAAAAAACCAGAGGAAAAAAAAAAAAGAAAAGAAACCCAAGUCUUAUGUCACUUUAUUUCCCUGCCAAAAUAGUUGCAUGUUAGGCGGCGAUUUAUCUGGAUUCUGCUGCCAAACAGGGACUCUCCUCGCUUGCUAUAAUAAAGAAAUUUUGGUGGAGAUUGUGCCGAGGCUGGUUUUCUCUUCCUCUACCCGCUUUUUCAAAAUUUAUUUUGUUUUAUUUUGUCGGGACUGGGUGUGUGGGGCUGUACCGUUAAGUUUUGCCCUGCGGUUGUUGCCUCUC